rnacentral:rRNA from 1 species
AUACGCUACGACAGGCUUACACACUGCAAGUCGAGGGGCAGCAUGGUCUUCGGACCGAUGGCGACCGGCGCACGGGUGAGUAACACGUAUGCAACCUACCUUCUACACAGGGAUAGCCCGUUGAAGAGACGGAUUAAUACCUGAUGAUACAGGGCCCCCGCAUGGGGAUAUUUGUUAAAGAUUUAUUGGUGGAAGAUGGGCAUGCGCAGGAUUAGGUAGCUUGGUGCAGGUAACGGCUCACCAAGCCUUCGAUCCUUAGGGGUUCUGAGAGGAAGGUCCCCCACACUGGUACUGAGACACGGACCAGACUCCUACGGGAGGCAGCAGUGAGGAAUAUUGGUCAAUGGUCGAGAGACUGAACCAGCCAAGUCGCGUGAAGGAUGAAGGUAUUAUGUAUUGUAAACUUCUUUUGUAAGGGAAUAAAGUGUAGGACGAGUCCUAUUUUGUAUGUACCUUACGAAUAAGCAUCGGCUAACUCCGUGCCAGCAGCCGCGGUAAUACGGAGGAUGCGAGCGUUAUCCGGAUUUAUUGGGUUUAAAGGGUGCGUAGGUGGGUUUAUAAGUCA